rnacentral:ncRNA from 1 species
UAACAUCCGUUGAGAAGGAAAGUAAGUAAUCAAGUUAUUUUAAGAGAGGCUUCGUUUGGUGGGAGAAGCUAAAUAAAAGAUUAGUGAAAAUGACCUUUUAGGAUUUUUGCCGAUAUGUAGGCAAAAACGAAGAAGUCUCCCGUUAACGAGACCACUGAUCAAAUGGUCAGGUGAAGGGAAAGAGAAAUCUUUCUAAAUAAAGGUGGUACCACGAGCAUAAUCGUCCUUUUA